rnacentral:misc_RNA from 1 species
GUGAAUCAUCAAAUUUUUGAACGCAAAUUGCACUCUCUGGUAUUCCUGAGCGUAUGCCUGUUUGAUGGUCAGUAUAAAUAAAAAUCGAGGUGUUGCUUAUUGUGACGCCAUCGGAAUUUGUUCAUCUUUAAUCUUAAUAAAGGUUUAAAGUGACCUAAAAUUGAUGAUACCUUGUGCAUCUCACGACGUACAUAAGAAUUUUUUUUUAUCCGUCCGUAGUUUUCCCAAUCUUUAUUAGUUAUGAUCAUUAUCUU